GAAAAUGAUGAUAGUAAUUGUCGCCCCAGUCUUACAAGCAUCAACUCUUUGAUGCUUGAUGGUGUUUGACUACUAAUAUAUCUGAUUC
rfam:Populus trichocarpa isolate Nisqually-1 chromosome 11, whole genome shotgun sequence.